CUCAUUCCAUCCCCACAUGUAGAGAUCACCAAAUACUUGAAAAAUAGAAAUUUCAUUAAAAUCUUAAACCUGUGAGAAUAAAUGUAUUGGCCUUAGACACCACUAUUUAAAUUCGUACAUGUUAAAUCAACUAGCUUUCACUAGUUAACUCUACCCUGUUUUUUUUUUAAUCCCGAUUAAUCUUGAAAUCUCAAUAAAAAUAUUUUAACUAGAGAUACACAUUUCUGUCAAGUGUGAAAACUUCUAAUUUCUUGUUCUUCCAAUAAAGACAUUCUGUUAAUCAUUUUGUAUUAAUUCUUUCAUUAUUAGACAGUUUGAUCAUUUCACAUAUUGGCCUAAGAAAAGUAUGUAACAAUCAAGACAUUUUGUAGAAAAGUAUGUAACAAUCAAGUCAUUUUGUAUCUGGCCUGAAAGCAACAGGCAUUGCUCUAGGUAUUUAACAGAAUGUCUCAUUUUCAUACAGUGUCAAUAAUAUUUACUGAUAAAAUAGUAGGCCUAUAAUGUCACUUGUUAAAACUGAAUAAUAACUUGUUUACAAGAUAAAACAUGAACUGAGUUGACUAAUGCAAAUUUCCUUAUUAACAAUUUGAACAAUAAAAUUAAGUAAAACCUAAGAGAUUUGACAUCUGUUUAAAAAAGUCUUUACUGUCUAUUAUAACAACCUGAAAUAGCUGCUGAGUGCCACCC